UUGGCAAAGCCAUAGACCAGCUAUGGCGUCUCGCAAAUCUCAGUUUCACUGCAUCCUGAAUUGUUUCGAUGCUCUGGAACCGGCGGGAGCCUCCACAUCUGACCACCGCAGGGGCAACAAAUAGAUCGGAGGGAAAUGAGAAUUUCGAAUGGUUUAGCGUUUGCUACGGUUGGUUCAGUAUCACAUUGUUCGAGCGGGUGAAGGAAGGUUGAGUGUUGUAAGAUCCACACCGGAACUUGAGCGGUUCUUCGUCACUUGGUCGAUUGGAAGGAUGGAAACGCUCCUCUCCACGACCAGACCUUCGCAAGAGAGCUCACAGAAGCAUUUGGAAAAUACUCGAGUCGCAGGUGGUAAUUUAUUGAAUCAUCAUUUGUUGCGAACGGCGUCUUCUUCUGGAGACAAUAUGACUGCUGCCGACGUUUAUCAACAUGGUUAUUGCAUGGCACCUGUGCGGAUCAAUCCACGUCUCGGGAAAUCGGAAAUUCAUGAAUAAGACGUUUCAUGGGAGACGUGUUUGUUAACUUCAUCUGGAGACCCGAAUGCGGAACCUCUCUCUGCUCCAUUAACACCGGGAGUGCUCCCCGAGAUCACCAAAGCUAAUUUUUAAACCUACCUGGAUUUUGUGAGCAGAUUUUCGAAGGUCCACCGACAUAAAAGUCGGAAACAAAUUGUUCAGGCACCUACAUUGGCAUCAAAUAGGAAUGGAGAGACUAGAUUGCAGGUGGAAGGCCUGCAGGCUUUUCUGUGUGAGAUUCCUUUUCUGUAUGUUCCUUAAGCUUUUGCUCUAGAGAGAGAGUCUACGUUUCAAGCAACAUGCAUAUUUUCAGCGCUUCCACAGAACAUGAUGCUGCAGAAGAAAUUGUCUCACUUCUUGGAGCUUGUGGAGGUCAAUUUGCUCAAAGGAAUUUCAGCUCGGUGGAGGGAAGUCCCUUUUACAGUGGUUAGACAACUACUGGUUUUCUCUUGGGAUCACACCUAGUAACAGGAAUACUCUGAGAACCGAGACAUCUUGUUUCGCAGCUUCUAGCAGCUGGAGAUUGUUGAGGUACUUUAGAUAUUGACGAAUUUGCAUCAAUUCCUGGUGAGUAUUGAAUUCAGUACCUCUUGAUGCACAUAAUGCAAGUAUUCGAUGGUGUGAGGCGGUAGCCGAUAGCCUAUUUUGGCACUCC